rnacentral:lncRNA from 1 species
CUCCCUUACCCUAUGCUUAUGGAUCUAGGAAGAGGGGGGGGGGGGGNCUUACGUGUGGUGCCGUUCUGAAGGCACUGCCUACAGGGCAGCCUCGGCCGAGCGAGUCCGUGGGAUUCUCUUUCCACGGCGAUGGGGUGUACUGAUGUUGUGGCAGAGAUGUUGAUUUCAAUGCGAGGGGGCGCCGUUCUUGGGGCGAAGGAGGAGCCAUCCAGGAAGUUGCGUGCUGGUGGCUUUGGUCAGAGGCGGCGGCCAUGUUGGAGGUGCGAGAGGAUACGAGGGAAUGGGGAAUAGAUGGGAUGGGUGAUGGGCAUGCUCGCGGACGGUGAUCUGUAUGACCUGGUGUGAAGAGGAGAUGGGACACCUGAAUCGUGGGUGUGCGUCACGAGAUGGAGGGCAGAUGGGAUUGAGGUCGUUGGAGAAGGCGGGGCGUGGGAUCCGGCUUUUCCCUUUUUUCGCUCAAUCGAAGGAAGCGCGAAGGGGCACGGGAAAGGGGUAGAAGGAGGUUGAACCAUCACGACGACGGCUGAUCCUUCUUUAAUAGUAGAGAUUUAAAGGCAAAACUGAGAGGACCCUGUAAACUGAUCAACACUACGCGUCAAGAAAAUUUCGCCGGGCGUACAAGGGCUGCAAUGACCUUCUGCCACGGAUUUUGCCGAAAUCUCAUUGGAAACUCGAGCAACUACGGAAGACCUC